AGUUUGCAUGAGAGUUUUCUCAACUCUCAUGCCCCGGUCAAACGAGAACAAGAGUUGCAUGAGAGUUGAUGAGAGUUGAGAAGCGAGAGUUUGCAUGAGAGUUUUCUCAACUCUCGUGCCCCAGUCAAACGAGAACAAGAGUUGCAUGAGAGUUGAUGAGAGUUGAGAAGCGAGAGUUUGCAUGAGAGUUUUCUCAACUCUCAUGCCCCGGUCAAACGAGAACAAGAGUUGCAUCAGAGUUGAUGAGAGUUGAGAAGCGAGAGUUUGCAUGAAAGUCGAUGAGAGUUGAGAAGCGAGAGUUUGCAUCAGCGUUUUCUCAACUCUCAUGCCCCGGUCAAACGAGAACAAGAGUUUAUUUAUUUAUUUAGCUUUUGCAUGAGAGUUGAUGAGAGUUGAGAAGCGAGAGUUUGCACGAGAGUUUUCUCAACUCUCAUGCCCCGGUCAAACGAGAACAAGAGUUGCAUGAAAGUUGAUGAGAGUUGUUGAGAAGCGAGAGUUUGGGUUUGAGUUUUCUCAACUCUCAUGUCCCCCGGUCAAACGAGAACAAGAGUUGCAUGAAUUUGCAUACAACUUACAAGCCAUAUUUUGCCUGUGGCUAAAUACAACCGAGGCGAAUUUACAAUCAAUUAAAGGGUUUGUGUAGUUAAAUGUUUCGAGUGGAAGAUUGUAUGCAAUUUUAGACCUAAACAGGAGCCGUUGUGAAAAAUUUAACUAUAGGCCCUCUGGUAGGAAUCGAACCUGCGAUUCCGGUGCAGUGCUGUAACCAACUGAGCUACAGAGUCCAGUUGUCGAGUUCUAACCAACUGAGCUACAGAGUCCUACAGUUGUCGAGCU
rnacentral:lncRNA from 1 species